rnacentral:rRNA from 1 species
AUUGAACGCUGGCGGCAGGCUUAACACAUGCAAGUCGAGCGGAGAUGAGGUGCUCGCACCUUAUCUUAGCGGCGGACGGGUGAGUAAUGCUUAGGAAUCUGCCUAUUAGUGGGGGACAACAUUCCGAAAGGAAUGCUAAUACCGCAUACGUCCUACGGGAGAAAGCAGGGGAUCUUCGGACCUUGCGCUAAUAGAUGAGCCUAAGUCGGAUUAGCUAGUUGGUGGGGUAAAGGCCUACCAAGGCGACGAUCUGUAGCGGGUCUGAGAGGAUGAUCCGCCACACUGCGACUGAGACACGGCCCAGACUCCUACGGGAGGCAGCAGUGGGGAAUAUUGGACAAUGGGGGGAACCCUGAUCCAGCCAUGCCGCGUGUGUGAAGAAGGCCUUAUGGUUGUAAAGCACUUUAAGCGAGGAGGAGGCUACUGAGACUAAUACUCUUGGAUAGUGGACGUUACUCGCAGAAUAAGCACCGGCUAACUCUGUGCCAGCCGCCGCGGUAAGAC